GCAUGUAUCACACAUUCUCAAACUUGAAAACAAAGAUAGAGAAACAUUCUCAUAGCUCUAAUGGGUAUCUCUAUCUUUGCCGAUGUGAGUGACCAAAAUUGCUGUCAGAACAACAUUGGAGGAGAAAAAGAUGACGAAGAACACCACGGUGCAAACAUUCUAGUAUUAGAGACCAAAAAUCGGGACAUGGAUGACAAGAGCUGUGUGUAAAAUUUCACAUGGAACACUCAUCUGAGCAAGAUGACAUGCCCAAGUUGUAUUUUAUAAGGCCUCCGAGGUUUGAUGGCCUUACAGCCUCGAACCUUCAGCAUGGCCUCCUAGGUCAGGGGUACAACUUUAAUACAAUUGUAUUCUUUUUAAUACAAUUUUUUUUUUCAUCCUAC